CCUACGGGAGACAGCAGUGGGGGAUAUUGCACAAUGGGGGAAACCCUGAUGCAGCGACGCCGCGUGUGGGAAGACGGUCCUCUGGAUUGUAAACCACUUUCCCCAGGGACUAAGAUGACGGUACCUGGGGAGGAAGCUCCGGCAAACUACGUGCCAGCAGCCGCGGUAAUACGUAGGGGGCAAGCGUUGUCGGGAAUUACUGGGUGUAAAGGGAGCGUAGGCGGGAUGGCAAGUUGGGGGUUAAAUCUACCGGCUAAACUGGUAGUCGCACUCAAAACUGCUAUUCUUGAGUGAAGUAGAGGCAGGCGGAAUUCCUAGUGUAGCGGUGAAAUGCGUAGAUAUUAGGAGGAACACCAGUGGCGAAGGCGGCCUGCUGGGCUUUUACUGACGCUGAGGCUCGAAAGUGUGGGGAGCAAACAGGAUUAGAUACCCGUGUAGUC
rnacentral:rRNA from 1 species